rnacentral:rRNA from 1 species
GAUGAGCGCUGGCGGCGUGCCUAAUACAUGCAAGUCGAGCGAACGGACGAGAAGCUUGCUUCUCUGAUGUUAGCGGCGGACGGGUGAGUAACACGUGGAUAACCUACCUAUAAGACUGGGAUAACUUCGGCAAACCGGAGCUAAUACCGGAUAAUAUUUUGAACCGCAUGGUUCAAAAGUGAAAGACGGUCUUGCUGUCACUUAUAGAUGGAUCCGCGCUGCAUUAGCUAGUUGGUAAGGUAACGGCUUACCAAGGCAACGAUGCAUAGCCGACCUGAGAGGGUGAUCGGCCACACUGGAACUGAGACACGGUCCAGACUCCUACGGGAGGCAGCAGUAGGGAAUCUUCCGCAAUGGGCGAAAGCCUGACGGAGCAACGCCGCGUGAGUGAUGAAGGUCUUCGGAUCGUAAAACUCUGUUAUUAGGGAAGAACAUAUGUGUAAGUAACUGUGCACAUCUUGACGGUACCUAAUCAGAAAGCCACGGCUAACUACGUG